GAGGUGGUGCAAUACACAGUGCCUUGAUUCAGCAUGCUCCAAAGGGAAUGACCCCUGGAAAGAUGGCACUUCUGGGUUGUAGUUAUUGUCAACAAAAGAUUCUGCUUGUGACCUUUGAAGAGUGAAAAGAAUCUAAUUUUAUCAAGCCUUGAGAAAAAUAUGAGAACUCUGAAGAAGCAUUCAUCUAGAUUUAAGAUUUCAAGUGACCUAUGCAUUUACAGAAGGCUUCAGUUUAUCCAUUACUUGAACAGUUAUGAACUCUUCUUUGGUAACAAUAAUGGAGAAAGAAGCAAUUUAUUGUUCAAGG